rnacentral:misc_RNA from 1 species
UUUCCGUAGGUGAACCUGCGGAAGGACCAUUAAUGAGUUGUCAUGGGGUUCGAUGCUGGCAGCCAGUUUUUGGAUGCAUGUGCUUGCCCUAACAAUCAUCUUCUUCCAAACACCUGUGCACAUUUUUGAGGGAGUCUUGAGUUGGUUGCCGCUCUUGGGUGAUUUUCUCACAUUCCCUUAAAUCAUUAUACGCUAUUAACAAUGUUGAACGUGCUCUGUGCCGCAAGGCCAUUAAUAUAAUACAACUUUUAACAACGGAUCUCUUGGCUCUC